rnacentral:misc_RNA from 1 species
GAUGAAGAACGUAGCGAAAUGCGAUACUUGGUGUGAAUUGCAGAAUCCCGUGAACCAUCGAGUCUUUGAACGCAAGUUGCGCCCGAAGCCAUUAGGCCGAGGGCACGCCUGCCUGGGCGUCACACGUCGUUGCCCCCCCAUCUACUCCUUCGGGAUUGCGGGGGGCGGAUGAUGGCCUCCCGUGCGCCUCGCCGCGCGGUUGGCAUAAAUGCCAAGUCCUCGGCGACGCACGCCACGACAAUCGGUGGUUGCGAAACCUCGGUGGCCCGUCGUGUGCGGUCGUCGCGCAUCGAGGGCUCGAAAAAAUUGCCGGGUUCCGGCUCGGCUUUCAACGCGACCCCAGGUCAGGCGGGGUUACCCGCUGAAUUUAAGCAUAUCAAUAAGCGGAGGA